GGAGAUCUGAGCCUGGGAGCUCUCUCC
rnacentral:misc_RNA from 1 species